UGUUCUUUAAAUGGGGACUCGUAUCAACGGCAUCACGAGGGUUAUACUGUCUCCUCUCUCCAAUCAGUGAAACUGAUCCCCCCGUGAAGAAGCGGGGAUCUAAUUAUAAGACGAGAAGACCCCAUGGAGCUUUAAACCCAAUUUGCACCCCUACCCCACCUCAAACAUCAACUAAACCUCAGGGGCCUGUACAUUGGUUUUAGGCUGGGGGGACCACGGAGCAAAAUAAAACCUCCAUAACAAAUGGGCUAGCACCCUUAUCCGAGAUUUACAAAUCCAAGAAUCAUUAAAAUGAUGUUUAAUGACCCAAUAAUUUGAUCAAUGAACCAAGUUACCCUGGGGAUAACAGCGCAAUCCACUCCAAGAGCCCGUAUCGACAAGUGGGUUUACGACCUCGAUGUUGGAUCAGGGUAUCCCAGUGGUGCAGCCGCUA
rnacentral:rRNA from 1 species